UCAGUAAUUCAGUAAGAACAAGUUACUACCUUCAGUAAUUCAAGAUGGUUAAAAUUUCUGCCAUCCUGUAGAUACAGGCGGUCAACCAAACAAUUUGGAAGCAAAUGUUAAAUGUUGUGCUGUCAUAUGCUGACCUGACAAUGACAUCACAUGAGGGGUUCGCAUUUCAGUGUCUUGGCUGCACAUAUUUUCUUGUUCGGGCUGCGGCUAGCUUCUGAAUCUGACAAAGUACUAGCAACAAUGAAUGGCUGAAACUCUGAAUACUGAAUUGGGUUGAUUUUGUGUGAAGGUACAAAGACAUCUGCAGCUGCGGAUCGAAGCCCAGGGCAAGUACCUGCACUCUGUUCUGGAGAAGGCGCAGGAGGCGCUCGCCAAGAACCAGCACGCUGCCGGCGCCGGCGCCGGACACGAAGCAGGGAAGCCGCCGGCGAGACAACGACUCC
rnacentral:lncRNA from 1 species